rnacentral:tRNA from 1 species
AUUUAAGUAGUUUAUUAAAAAUAAAGAAUUGUGGUUUCUUUGAAAUCUAAUUAGAUCUUAAAUU